rnacentral:ncRNA from 1 species
UGACCUCGGAUCAGGUAGGGAUACCCGCUGAACUUAAGCAUAUCAAUAAGCGGAGGAAAAGAAACCAACCGGGAUUGCCUUAGUAACGGCGAGUGAAGCGGCAAGAGCUCAAAUUUGAAAGCUGGCUCCUUCGGAGUCCGCAUUGUAAUUUGCAGAGGAUGCUUUGGGUGCGGCCCCCGUCUAAGUGCCCUGGAACGGGCCGUCAGAGAGGGUGAGAAUCCCGUCUUGGGCGGGGUGUCCGUGCCCGUGUAAAGCUCCUUCGACGAGUCGAGUUGUUUGGGAAUGCAGCUCUAAAUGGGUGGUAAAUUUCAUCUAAAGCUAAAUACUGGCCGGAGACCGAUAGCGCACAAGUAGAGUGAUCGAAAGAUGAAAAGCACUUUGAAAAGAGAGUUAAACAGCACGUGAAAUUGUUGAAAGGGAAGCGCUUGCAACCAGACUCGCCCGCGGGGUUCAGCCGGCAUUCGUGCCGGUGUACUUCCCCGUGGGCGGGCCAGCGUCGGUUUGGGCGGCCGGUCAAAGGCCCCUGGAAUGUAGUGCCCUCCGGGGCACCUUAUAGCCAGGGGUGCAAUGCGGCCAGCCUAGACCGAGGAACGCGCUUCGGCUCGGACGCUGGCAUAAUGGUUGUAAACGACCCGUCUUGAAACACGGACCAAGGAGUCUAACAUCUACGCGAGUGUUCGGGUGUCAAACCCGUGCGCGCAGUGAAAGCGAAC